rnacentral:lncRNA from 1 species
UAGGACAACUGGCUACAACUGUGGGGAUAUUGGAAUCUAGAGGCUCAGGAAAAUUAUCAUCUCAAACAGUAGUCAACCCAAGGGAGAAUGCAAGUGCCAUAACUUUGCGGAAUGGAACACAGUUGGAUACACCACUGACCCCCAUAGAGUUCGAGAAGGAAGCAGCUAAGGAGGGAACAGAAAAAUUCAAGGUACAACCUAACCCUCCUAAUCAGCUUAAAAACAUUCAUCUUCCC